UAUUCAUAGCUCCCACCUUUACAAUCAGUCAAAAUCAAAUUCCCUAUGUAUGGUUUACCCGACCUCAGAUCUCAACCUCAUCACACAUCACUCCCGCCUGGGCUCUGGGGCCAUAUGGGGUGCCAGGGACCGAACCCGGAUCAGCCGCAUUGCAAGGCAAAUGCCGUAACCGCUGUCCUAUCACUCUGGCUCCCAAAAUUAACAUCUUAAUAGCUCUGUACCUUUCUUCCCAUCAGGACUUCCCUCCUUACUGCCCGCCCCUCCCGUAAGAGCAGUCGCAGGCCUAGUGUGCCAUUUUCCCGACGGAAUCUAAAAACCAGGAUUCAGGGUGGUGGUGACACCAGAGUGGUGAUGUCCAGGAGACCUCAAGUCCCUGCCACCCCGUGGGGCCCAGUGGCUGGAAGGGGGCCACGGACUGCAAUGCACCCCCUCUUCUCGGGCCCCCCUCCCCACGGAAGCAAGCACCAGCCGCUGUCCAGUCCCAGCGUCUCUGCCAGCCGUGCCCCGGCCCCCCUUCCCC